rnacentral:snoRNA from 2 species
CCCCUCUCAGGGUUGCACCUGGAGAAUUUGCAUUACUCUACCACUUUCAACUACAGGAGGGAGAGUCAAGCAGAGGCCUGUCCAUUCCAUUCCUAGCAUGGACAGUGGCUAGGUAGUGGAAGACAAUCUGCUACAAGU